CUUCCCUGUGUGCCCACCCAUCCUUGGGCAGGAGCUGGGUCCCUUGGAUGUGCUGCUCUCCCUUCACCCUGUGAGGAGGAGCAGCACACAGCACCAGGGAGCCCUCAGGCAUCCUGGUGAAUCAGACCUACUAAGGAAAAUGCUAAAGCAGAUAUUUCACUUGGAGCACAUGAAUAAUCCCACACCAACACUUGAAGGCCG
rnacentral:lncRNA from 12 species